GCAGCCGCCGCGGUAAUACGAAGGUCCCAAGCGUUGUUCGGAAUCACUGGGCGUAAAGGGAGCGUAGGCGGCGUGGAAAGUCAGAUGUGAAAUCCCGGGGCUCAACCCCGGAACUGCAUCCGAUACUGCCAUGCUUGAGGGUUGGAGAGGUAGCUGGAAUUCUCUGUGUAGCAGUGAAAUGCGUGGAUAUCGAGAGGAACACUCGUGGCGAAGGCGAGCUACUGGACAACAUCUGACGCUGAGGCUCGAAGGCUAGGGUAGCGAAAGGGAUUAGAUACCCCUGUAGUCCCUGUCUCUUAUAC
rnacentral:rRNA from 1 species